CCGAGUUAGGGUUGUCCCCUGGACGCCCGGCCUCCCAACCCUGUGUCUAUGUUACCUCUCAGUUGCUUCGGCGCGACCGUCCCCCCUCUGUCUGGGAGCGGACGCCGGACCUGUACUGGUCUGGACAGCGUCCGCCGAUGGCCACAACCAAAAACUCUUGACCUAAUACUGUCGUCUGAAUUAUUAUUGUAAAAUAGAUCA
rnacentral:misc_RNA from 1 species